rnacentral:rRNA from 1 species
UACCAGCACCCCGAGUGGUCGGGACGUUUAUUGGGCCUAAAGCAUCCGUAGCCGGUUCUGCAAGUCUUCCGUUAAAUCCACCUGCUUAACAGAUGGGCCGCGGAGGAUACUAUAAGACUAGGAGGCAGGAGAGGCAAGCGGUACUCAGUGGGUAGGGGUAAAAUCCGUUGAUCCAUUGAAGACCACCAGUGGCGAAGGCGGCUUGCCAGAAUGCGCUCGACGGUGAGGGAUGAAAGCUGGGGGAGCAAACCGG